ACACCAAAAGUUUGAUGUCUCUAAGUCUCCACACCAAGGGUUAAGUGUGAAGAUGAAAUGGAUGACUUAGGGAAGAAGAGAUUGCUAGAUUAAUCUCCCUAAGUGGCCGGCCUCUUUGUAGAGAGAAAGAGAGAAAAUGUUUCACCUCUUUGCCUCAAAGAAAAAAAAAACCCUAAUGAGAAAAUAGCUAUAAAGUUGCUUUUAUAACACUUUUCUUUGGUGAGUGCCAAACUUGCAAUUAAGCAAACUUUCACCAUCUCCUCACCAUGGCCGGCCUAUAUGUUGUGAUUGGGCUCAUUGCCCAUUUUGUUUUAGUUGUCAUACAACUUAAACAUAAUGGGCCUUAUGGACCAAAACACUUUUGGGCCC
rnacentral:lncRNA from 1 species